AUUUUCAAACUAAAAAAAACUUCAGUUUGUCAUUCUUCUUCCCGAAUAAACUUUUUAUUUUUUGAAUCUAAAAUGACUCAAUGACUUUAUUGACAACUCAAUAAAUUGUUACCAGAUUAUUGAGGAAAAUGUGUAGGUUAUGUUGGUGCUGCUACAGUUGAGUAUGCUUAUAGCAUGGAAACUUGUGAAUACUACUUUCUAGAGCUCAAUCCUAGAUUAUAGGUUGAACAUCUAACUAAGUGGAUUGCUAAUCUAAACUUGCCUAUGGCUUAAGUUGCUGUAGGGAUGGGAAUACCUCUUUGGCAAAUUCCAAGUGAAAAUUUUAUAACCCAUAUGGUUAACAAACUAUCCAUUUAUUUAUGAUGUUUACUAUUCUUAUCUCAUAAUGUUUGCUUGAAUUGAGAAAUCAAACAGUUUUAUGGAAUGAAUAAUAAAGGAGGUUAUGAUGCAUGGAAGAAAACAUCUAUUCUAGCAACUCCUUUUGACUUUGAUAAGGCUGAGUCUGUUUGGCCUAGAGGACACUGUGUAGCUGUUCAUGUCACUAGUGAGAUCCAGAUGAUGGGUUCAAGCCUAAGAGUGGAACAGUGCAGGAAUUGAGUUUUAAAAGCAAACCUAACACAAGGGCGUAGUUCUCUGUUAAGUCUGGAGGUGGCAUUCAUGAGUUCUCUAAUUGGCAAUUUGGCCAUGUUUUUGCAUUUGGAGAGUAUAGAGCUUUCACAAUAGCUAAUAUGGUUCUUGGGCUGAAAGGGAUACAAAUUCGUGAGAAAUCCACACAAAUGUUGACUACACAAUUGAUCUCCUCAAUGCUGACGUCAUAGAACAACUCCGGCUUCAACACAAGAAGGAUCUUCUCCGGGUGGUAGACAGUAACAACCAGAUGAGUACUUUACUGGACAGAUACAAUAUGAUCCAAUUUUCUGGGUUCCUCCCUUUUCCCCUCGACUCGUUGCGUGAAGAGGAGCAACAGCGACGGCGAGCUGUGAUGGGCACCGGGGGCAAGGUACCAAUCCCGCUUCCUGCUCCCUAUUUUUUUUCCCGAUGCCAGAAAUCUUGCUUCGUGUUGUGGGAUUUGGGCAUUUUUGUUCGAUGCCCUAGUGUUGUGAUUGGCUGCUUAUUGUAGUGAUUCUCAUAAUUGCACGUUUAUGUCCCAUUUCGUUUUGUUUUUGUUUCCUUUUCUUGGUUUGUACUGGGUACUAGAGACAUUUGUGCAAACAUUCACUUUGUUUUUUAUCGCUUCUUUACCUUUUAAAUUCAUGUUAUUUUCUGCGAGUUAAUGUAACU